AAAGGAGAUACCUUUUUCAUCAUUAAGGUCUUCACUCCUGGAAAAGUCUUUAAGUUUUCUGUAACAGUAUUCCACAGAUGAAAGCUUCCCUGGUGUAUUGCCUUCAGAGCACGGAUCGAUAUUUGGCGAGGAGCACCUUCGCAAGAGCUCCAGCUGCACCACUCUCUUCUUGUUCUGCUGUAGCAGCAAAGGGGAGACCUCCAGACCACAGCUGCUCUGUACCUCGGCCUCUGCACACAGCGUAGAUUCUGUUUGCACUGCAAAUUCCCUCUGCUGUUGCUGAAGGGCAGCUAGUCGGUUAUUCUCAUUUAUAAGCCACUGUUGGUCUGUAAACAAAAUGAUUGAAAGAAAGUAAAAAUCAUAGAAAAAACAUUUUUCAUUAAUUAAAUUAGCCUUGAGAACCCAUUUAAGCACAGAAUUCCUAUGUAGGUAGAGCAAAGUCUUUUAACCUUUGUGUUAAUGAAAAAAAUAAAAUGCAAUGCACAUACUAAUAAGCCUUUGGCAAAUAAAUACCUACUGUUUAGUGAAGAAAAUGCAAUAUUAAAAUGUAACUGACUUCUCAAA